UGGAAGAGCGAAAUGGUCUCCUAAACAUU
rnacentral:piRNA from 1 species